GCCACGGAAUGACCCCCAGAGAGGGCCAGGAAUGUCACCACGGCCCGGCGCUCCCGGUUCCACCUGGGCGGGCGCGGCGCACCUGGAGAAAUCCAUCACGAUUCCGGGUGGAAGGAAUGCAGGGCCGGGGGGUUAAUCUUUAACCAGACCCCCCUGGAAGCCUCGGAAAAUUCCCAGGAGCCGCUCCCGGGUUGUUUGGGAGCCACCUCGGGAAGGAUCUGUCGGGAAGGAGCCGGAAUUCCGCGGCUCCAUCCGGAAUUGGCCGCUCCAAGGAUAUCUGAUUUUUCCCGGAUUUUUGGAGUCCUUGGAAAAGCCCCCUUGGAAGGAGAGAGGUUUUCCCACAGGACAUUCCAAGCGGGAUGGGAUUCACCGGGAUCAGCCAAAGAUCUUGGAAGAACCACCCGAGCAUGGAGAACCAACCAUCCCCUCCCCAACCCAACCCAAGCCAAGCCACUCCAGAAAGCCACAAAAAUGCAAAUCAUCAAAGAUGUGGAGACAGAAAUGUCCCCUUUCUGUCCUGCCUUGGAAGUGGAACCGGGAGCUGCUGGAUUGACAGAGCUCCAGAAGUUCCAUGGAGGCACCAGGAAGGACCAGGCCACUUUUGGGCCACCGGUGGCCACCGGACUGGGCCAAACCAGGCCCCCCAGAGGUCUCCAAAAGCGUCGAUAAAGUGAUUUUAAAGGGAUCAAAGCUGGAGCUGCCCUCUGAGACUUGCCCAAAUCUGGAGCAAGCUCACCGGGACAAAACCGGAGCUGAGGGAAGAGCUCAGGAUCAAUCCCAGGAGGAAAUCAAAGGCUCUGGAUCCUCCUUUUCCCCUGGAUCCCAUUCCCAGAGUGCGCAGGAACUCGACCAGCCUGAGCCUGAUAAAAUCCUGGGUUUAAAACCUCGGUUUAAGGGCGGCUCCUCAAUUUCCCGUCUCCGACAGAUUCCGGUUCCAACCCCGAGAAAAUCCCGGGUUUAAAACCUCGGUUUAAGGGCGGCUCCUCAAUUUCCCAGCUCCAACAGAUUCCGGUUCCAACCUCCUGCUCCAGCCUGGAGCGGCUUCACCGGGAUGAAACCGGAGCCAAGGGAAGAGUUCAGGAUGAAUUCCAGAGAGGAAUCAAAGGCCAUGGAUCCUCAUUUUGCCCUGGGUCCCUUUCCCAGUGUGAGCAUGACCACCCUGGCCCCGCUUAAAACCCCACAUUUAACUCGCGGUUUAAGGACGGCUCCGUUUCCCGGCUCCGACAGAUUCCAGUUCCAAUCUGGGAUAAAACCAGAGCCAAGGGAAGAUCUGGGGAGGAACCAGGGGCUCUGGACCUUCGCCUUCCCCUGGAUCCCAUCCCCAGAGCGAGCAGGAACACGACCACCCUGACCCCUGGAAAACCCCACAUUUAAAGGAUGAUUUAAGGACGGCUCCUCCAUUUCCCAGCUUCCCAACUCUCCUGGAAACCAAACCCGGUUUCCCUGCUUUAAUCACCGCGCCUCGCUUUGUCUCCGAGCCCUUUCUUUGCCUUUCUCUCCCUUUCUCCUCCAUUUAUUUCUUCUCUUUUUGUUGGUUUUUUUUUUUUUUUUUUUGUGCUAAACCUGUAAAAGGCGCCGGGCUCGGAGUUCAUUUGGCCGCGGAGCUGAUAAGCCAUGAAAAACACGGAGUCGGCGAUGGAAGCGCUGACAGCGCCGGCUCUGCCGCGGGCCCAGCUGCAAUUUGCCUUCCAGGGCUGUCUCCGAAAACAAAAACGCUCCACACGCAGCAUGCAAAGAAGUUCCGAGUGCGUUGGGGGGCUCGGGGAAAGAGGAGAAGGGGGUGGAAAAAGCCACAUGGAAGACGAGAAGGGCGGGCGGCGCUGGGAGCGGGGAGAGAGCUGCAGAUCAAUCAUUUAUAAUUAACAAAAAUCCGAUUGGGGCUUUAAAUAGAGAUCAAUGUGCGGCGGGGCUGAGUGGAUUGCGAGGAUGUAUUCACCUUCUCGUAACUCUCCUCGCGAGCUGUCACACCUCCCGAACCCCCAUUUGUUUUGUUAACAAAGCUUCAGGGGGCGCCGGGCUCUCAUUGAAAUUUCAUUAAUCUAAUGGAGUAAAGUCCUGGAGAGGGGAAAAAAAAAAAGAAAAAAAUCAAAUUCUCGUUGGGCGAGAUGGUACCUGGGAAAGAUAACCUCUGGUUGAACUCCCCGCCUCGGCGGGCUCUGCCAUCAGUCUGGGAGCAGACAGCAGCGGGAUGAUUGCAGCCACCGGCCGCAGAUCCUUCUUCUGCUGCUGCUGCUGCUGCUGCUUCUGCUGCUGCUUCCCCCCCGCACCCCCAGGCCGAGCGCCGGCGCCGCCGGCCACGCGCUGCCACCGCAGCGGGGUCACGGCGGGGACUGGGACAGGGUCAGGUGUGAAAUCACUGCAG